UUUCCUUCCAGAGACGCAGGCCAUCAAACCUGCUGUGCCCAAGCAACCACACUAGCAAAAUGAAAUGUAUGUUUACCAAUCAUUCACAACAAAAAGCAAGCUGAUUUAUCAUUUAUGGAGCGGAGGAAGCCUUACCUUAGGAAAAACACAGGCUUCUUCCUUGAAAUCAGUCGUUGUUGUUGUAUAGUCGUUUAGUCGUGUCCGACUCUUCGUGACCCCAUGGACCAGAGCACGCCAGGCCCUCCUAUCUUCCACUGCCUCCCGGAAUUGGGUCAAAUUCAUGUUGGUUGUUUCGAUGACCCUGUCUGUUUCUUCUCUUGCUCAUGUCGCAAUUUAGAUUGUAAAUUCCUCAGAGUAGGAAACUAUUUCCCCCCUUUUUACAUAAUAGUAAAGUGUCUUUAUGUCGUAAUCUCUCUCUCUCUCUCUCUCUCUCUCUCUCUCUCUUUCUCUCCCAAAGAGGUUUGGUUGGGCGGUUCAUUUCAGCAUGAAUUUCACCAUCAAGGAGACCCACUGCCAGAAAGCUUCUAGUUACAGGAUGGGAAGCUGCCGAUACAAAGCCAACGGGGCCAUCAGGGACUGUUCCGCUGAGGUGUCGAUUCUGAACUUCAUGCACGAUGCGCCGCUGACCUCUGUGAAAUGCCAGCCAGCAAAGCCCAGCAGCAAGAAGGCAAAACCCAAGUCCCGGCCGCAGGCGGCAGAGGCUCCGUCCCCAGUGUCCGUGGGGCAGGACUCCCCAUCUCCUCUGACUCUCCGGCAGUUCUGAUGGCCAUUGUGGAAGAGGAAUGGCAACCCUACGGCGCGAAGGGGGCCUUUUGUAGCUGGAGGCGUCCUGAGCCUCGGCGCCGGUUUUCCACCAAAUUGUUGCACAACAUCUACAAAGCAAAUGUGUCGUGCCGUAGGGUGGGUAGCGUAUUAUCCUCUGUCGACCCUAUCCAAAGGAGAGCAAUAUUUUAACAGUGCCCUGUAGGUUUUGUUCGUUUUAUUAUUUUUAAUAUUAUUUGGGGGGGGGUUGGCCCGUUGACCUGUCCGUCAGUCACCUCUAGAGGUAGAUUCUGAGCUACAGUUGUGAUGACUAGCCCUGUUUUUAUAGAUUUCUUAAGAUCCCCUUAACCACUCGAUAAAUGUUAGUAUAUUGCUUUAAAUACAGUGGGACCACAGUAUCUUGGAGGGGGGGGAAUCAGUUUCAAGACACACACACACACACACACACACACACACACCGUGAAUGCUGAAAAAUGCAGAAGUAUGUAAUGGCCUGUUCUGGCAAAUACACCCUGGAUAUACAUAUGCAGUAAAUAGGAAUUUCAUGGGGUGGGGGGCAUUUAGUAUUUUCAGCCAUCAGAUAAGUGAAUCAGUGGAUACCGAUCCCGCGGAUAGGGGGGUCCUACUGUAUUGAUAUAUGGAUUUUUCGUUGAUGAAUUCCUGGCCUGUGGAGAUGAAGCACUAAGGUUGCCACCAACAGUGUCAAACUAAGGACACCAAUGAGGGUCAGAAUGUGUUCCACAGAAGCCAGGAUGUCUCCCCAGUUUUGCAUGGGACAGGACUCCCAGCAAAUCAUGUUUCACAAUACCAGUACCAUGACGAAGGUGGAGCCACUGUGGCUUUUGCCCCCAGGUCCCAAAAUGUAGAGGGCGUUGAUAUGUGGAGAUGAAUCUGCUGAUGGCUGGCUGGAAAAUAAACCGCCACACCUCCUCA
rnacentral:lncRNA from 1 species